CUGGGUCUGAGCCUCGUGCUCGCUACCCGCCCUUUGUCAUGAGACGCGCAAGCAACUCACAUCGCUUCGGCCUCGGGGGGAUACCCCCCAUUAACUUGGGGGGUGGAGCCCGCGGCCGGCCUUACAAACCCACGCGAAUUUUGAAGUCUGAUGAAUUGAUAAACGAAAAGCA
rnacentral:misc_RNA from 1 species